UACGUAGGCAGCGAGCGUUGUUCGGAGUUACUGGGCGUAAAGGGAGCGUAGGCGGACUGUUAAGUUAGAGGUGAAAGCCCAGGGCUCAACCUUGGAAUUGCCUUUGAUACUGGCUGUCUUGAGUUCGGGAGAGGUGAGUGGAAUGCCGAGUGUAGAGGUGAAAUUCGUAGAUAUUCGGCGGAACACCAGUGGCGAAGGCGACUCACUGGCCCGAUACUGACGCUGAGGCGCGAAAGCGUGGGGAGCAAACAGG
rnacentral:rRNA from 1 species